CUGGACACACGGAGCAUGUUUGACGAGUUCUUCUCCCCCGGCUGGUGCGAUGACGCUUGUCAUGUUUCAGGUACGCACCCUAGGCCUCCGCUUCCAGCGCACUCCAGCAACGUCCCUUCGCCCAGCAGUGUCCCGGACCGUUGACGUUCAGUGCUUGUCGUCCCGUGGCUGACCGCCUGUGCACUUCUCCUCCAGCUACCCAGCUACUGGUUUCCUGGCAAGUAAAGAAUCCUGGACGACCCGCCCUGCAGUACGUCGACUGCGUGUAGUCUGCAACCCUUGUCUUGACAUCCGCCGCCCCUCAAGAUUUGUUCCGCCUGCGUAGUAGGCCAUGACGUCCAGUGCUCACCGUAGUGUGGCAAGCCUUGCUCACGAGAUAGUUCGUCACAUUGAUACGCCCGCUGACGUUGAGCUGCAGGAAAAGUCCCUCUCUGCCUGCUCCGUGCUGCCUCGAUGACGCUGCACAACUACGGAUUCGUGACGCGAACAUCGAUCACGACGUCCUUGUGGUAGUUCUUUCCGCCCGGUAGCUGUAUCAUGGCCGUUCGAUACAGACUCGUAUUGAGGGUCCCUGACUGUUUGACGAGCGGACCGAAACAAUUCCAGGUGACAUGCUGGCUCAUCUGUGGUACACUGCUCAGUCAGUAUGGAGGUUGGUGCGCGUUAAUUCACAUCCUGUGCUCUCGUAAUGGUACGCUGAUGCUGGUUCGUAUUGUGAAGUGCCGCGCGCGUAUGAGCAUGGAUGUGUGUGUGUGUGUGUGUGUGUGUGUGUGUGUGUGUGUGUGUCCUGUAUGUUGUCUAUUGCACGCGCGUGCGACUUCGAUCACUUCAUCUGGUUGUUGUCAUAUCUUUAGCUGGGUGCGUCCUCACUACUUCCAUGGAAUUCUUGGUGGAUGGCCUCGUCUUAUCUGUGAAUUCAGAAAGCUCGUUGAUGGUUCCGCAGUGACGGUUGCCAAUCUUUUCCAAAAUCCUUCCAACUUUGGCUCUGGGCGUUCCCCUUAAUUGAAGGGCGUCCAGUGGUCUAUUUGUCGGUGGCCCUUGCCUCGUCAGCUUUUACAAUCGAAGGGGUCUCUGUUGGCAUAUCUUCCUUGUAUUCAUCAUUAUUCAUCAUGGCUAAUGCGAAGCAUCAGCGUACCGUUACAAAAGGCAUAUGGCAUGAAUUAAAGGCAAUACAACAUUUCCAUUAGCUUGUGAGCAUCAUGCAUAUCAGCUUAUCCUUUGAAAUGUAGUGGUGGCAUGGCACAAAGAUUAUUUUUAAAAACCUGUCUACAGUCAUUCUUCAUGUUAGCGGUAAAGCGGAGUACCACUACAUUGCCAAGCAAAGCAGACGCUGAACCUCCCUUCAGCAAGAUUGGACAUUGAUCGGACGCCACCACCGCACGUGCCUGCGAUGUUAAGUCUUGAUCACCGUUUCAUCACCGUUACUUUUGUACUUCACUUUUCACUGCCCUGUGUAUAUUUCGCUGCUUGCAUCCUCUUGUACUUUUCUAUAACAUUUACUUGCUGUAUAUACAAUGUUCACUGGAACUUAAUAAAAUGACGAAGGUGUUCUUUUCCAUUGGGAAUAUUUCCCCUGUGUGGAUAACAUUGUACAGUUGUAAACAUUGACUUUUUUUGUAGUACAUAUUCUUGUCAACUCGGCGUGCACUGGAGUU